rnacentral:rRNA from 1 species
CAGCCGCCGCGGUAAUACAGAGGGUGCGAGCGUUAAUCGGAUUUACUGGGCGUAAAGCGUGCGUAGGCGGCUUCUUAAGUCGGAUGUGAAAUCCCUGAGCUUAACUUAGGAAUUGCAUUCGAUACUGGGAAGCUAGAGUAUGGGAGAGGAUGGUAGAAUUCCAGGUGUAGCGGUGAAAUGCGUAGAGAUCUGGAGGAAUACCGAUGGCGAAGGCAGCCAUCUGGCCUAAUACUGACGCUGAGGUACGAAAGCAUGGGGAGCAAACAGGAUUAGAUACCCGAGUAGUCCCUGUCUCUUAUCA